rnacentral:rRNA from 1 species
AGAGGAAGUAAAAGUCGUAACAAGGUUUCCGUAGGUGAACCUGCGGAAGGAUCAUUACGAAAUUCGGCGCGCUUCGGCGCUGCCUUAUUCACCCACCCUUUGUCUACGUGUACCUCUAUAGCUUCCUCGGCGGGCUCGCCCGCCGCCAGGAACCCACGAAACCCCUUGCAUUAUACACGAAAACUUCUGAUAACAAACCUAAAUUAUUACAACUUUCAACAAUGGAUCUCUUGGUUCUGGCAUCGAUGAAGAACGCAGCGAAAUGCGAUAAGUAGUGUGAAUUGCAGAAUUCAGUGAAUCAUCGAAUCUUUGAACGCACAUUGCGGCCAUAGGUAUUCCUUUGGCCAUGCCUGUUCGAGCGUCAUUUACACCCUCAAGCCUAGCUUGGUGUUGGGCGUCUGUCCCGCCGUUUUCGCGCGCGGACUCGCCUCAAAGUCAUUGGCGGCGGUCGUGCCGGCUCCUCGCGCAGCACAUUUGCGCUUCUCGGAGGCCCGGCGGAUCCGCGCUCCAGCAAAGA